rnacentral:lncRNA from 1 species
UCAGGUGAUGGUCAUUGGCCAAAGGAUCAAGAAAGGUAAAAGAGCUGACGAACCGAUGAAGGGUGAUCAGAAAGGAAUUCAGAUCCAUACGAGUAAGGAUGGGAGUCCAGAGACAUACAGGGACCCUGAAACUACUGACUAGUCCACAUGGCCCCUGGUACAACAUCCUCCAAUGCCCAUCCAUUGGGCAGACAGGGCAAGCCUCAGAUUGCCUGAGUCACCUGAUGACUGGAAGCCAACUCUGGCACUGCUCAGGACUGGGAGCAGAGUGACUGGGUCGUCUGGAAGGCAGCCACACAGUGGCUGAAGACUCAAGAGAGUACCCAAGGGGAUUAAGGAUGAGGGAAUGGAAG